UGCCCCUUAGCCAAGUGGUAAGGCACCGGAUUUUGAUUCCGUUAUCGUGAGUUCGAGUCUCACAGGGGUAG
rnacentral:tRNA from 1 species